rnacentral:ncRNA from 2 species
AUAGUCGCAGCCGUCGUCGGUUCCGUUUUGGAACCAAGAGGGAAUGCGGUAGGGGCAAAAUUCGCCCGAUGCCGUGGCUGCCCCCGCAACUGUGUGCGGUAGUCCUCUCCAUAUGCCACUGAAGAUUUUCUUCGGGAAGAGCUUCUUCGGGAAGGUGGGGAAGGGCGCUGAUCCGCGAGCCAGGAGACCUGCCGGCGACAGGAGAACUGA